GGCCUAACACAUGCAAGUCGAGCGGUAACAGGAAAGUGCUUGCACUUUUGCUGACGAGCGGCGGACGGGUGAGUAAUGUCUGGGGAUCUGCCCGAGGGCGGGGGAUAACCACUGGAAACGGUGGCUAAUACCGCAUAAUGUCGCGAGACCAAAGUGGGGGACCUGAAAGGGCCUCACGCCCUCGGAUGAACCCAGAUGGGAUUAGCUAGUCGGUAGGGUAAUGGCCUACCGAGGCGACGAUCCCUAGCUGGUCUGAGAGGAUGACCAGCCACACUGGGACUGAGACACGGCCCAGACUCCUACGGGAGGCAGCAGUGGGGAAUAUUGCACAAUGGGCGCAAGCCUGAUGCAGCCAUGCCGCGUGUAUGAAGAAGGCCUUCGGGUUGUAAAGUACUUUCAGCGGGGAGGAAGGGUUUAGCCUGAACAGGGUUGAAUUUUGACGUUACCCGCAGAAGAAGCACCGGCUAAC
rnacentral:rRNA from 1 species